GAUGAACGCUGGCGGCGUGCCUAAUACAUGCAAGUCGAGCGAACGGACGAGAAGCUUGCUUCUCUGAUGUUAGCGGCGGACGGGUGAGUAACACGUGGAUAACCUACCUAUAAGACUGGGAUAACUUCGGGAAACCGGAGCUAAUACCGGAUAAUAUUUUGAACCUCAUGGUUCAAAAGUGAAAGACGGUCUUGCUGUCACUUAUAGAUGGAUCCGCGCUGCAUUAGCUAGUUGGUAAGGUAACGGCUUACCAAGGCAACGAGGCAUAGCCGACCUGAGAGGGUGAUCGGCCACACUGGAAGUGAGACACGGUCCAGACUCCGACGGGAGGCAGCAGUAGGGAAUCUUCCGCAAUGGGCGAAAGCCGGACGGAGCAACGCCGCGUGAGUGAUGAAGGUCUUCGGAUCGUAAAACUCUGUUAUUAGGGAAGAACAAAUGUGUAAGUAACUGUGCACAUCUUGACGGUACCGAAUCAGAAAGCUACGGCUAACUACGUG
rnacentral:rRNA from 1 species